rnacentral:lncRNA from 1 species
GAUACAAUAUCACCACCGUGAUCGGAUGCAUCUGGAAGUAGUGCCUUAGCUUCCGGGAUGCCAUCACCACGGCGAACAACUUCUUCUAUGCUUAGGGGUAUCAUUCCUUUGCAUCCCGCAGUACUUCACUGAUGAAGUACACUAGGCGCAACACUUUCUUGGUCUGCCCCGGGGCAGCACAGUUGGGGAUCUAGGAUGGAAAACCCCUAGGGGAGCCUUCCACUUUCUACUCAGUCUCCCGAGCUUCGAUCGUCCCGAGAGGGGUCUUGGUUGGAGCCGUGCUCCCGGGACCGCUGUUAGGCGCCCCCGGGAAAGGUGUGCUGGUGGUCAGCGUGUCACCC